rnacentral:rRNA from 1 species
UACGUAGGGUGCGAGCGUUGCCCGGAUUUAUUGGGCGUAAAGAGCGUGUAGGCGGCCAGACAGGUCCGUUGUGAAAACUAGAGGCUUAACCUCUAGACGUCGAUGGAAACCGUCUGGCUAGAGUCCGGAAGAGGAGAAUGGAAUUCCGAGUGUAGAGGUGAAAUUCGUAGAUAUUCAGAAGAACACCAGUGGCGAAGGCGGCUCACUGGCCUGGUAUUGACGCUGAGGUGCGAAAGCGUGGGGAGCAAACAGG